rnacentral:tRNA from 1 species
GGAUAGGUGGCUGAGUGGUCGAAGGUGCUCGCCUGGAACGCGAGUAGGGGUUCACGCCCCUCGAGGGUUCGAAUCCCUCCCUAUCCGCCA